AUGAACGCUGGCGGCGUGCUUAACACAUGCAAGUCGAACGGAAAGGCCCUGCUUUUGUGGGGUGCUCGAGUGGCGAACGGGUGAGUAACACGUGAGUAACCUGCCCUUGACUUUGGGAUAACUUCAGGAAACUGGGGCUAAUACCGGAUAGGAGCUCCUGCUGCAUGGUGGGGGUUGGAAAGUUUCGGCGGUUGGGGAUGGACUCGCGGCUUAUCAGCUUGUUGGUGGGGUAGUGGCUUACCAAGGCUUUGACGGGUAGCCGGCCUGAGAGGGUGACCGGCAAAAUGGGGAAUCAAAAACGCCCAAACCUCCUCGGGGGGGCAAAGGUGGGGAAUAUUGACAAAGGGGGGGAAACCUAGUACAAAAACGCGCGGGCGGGGAGGAGGGCCUUCGGGUUGAAAACCGUUUUCGCCUGUGACGAAGCGUGAGUGAGGGUAAGGGGAAAAGAACCCCCGGCUAACUACG
rnacentral:rRNA from 1 species